GCUCAGCAGAACAUAUACAAAACUUGAAAUGAUGUAGAGAAGAUUAGCAUGGUCCCUGCUCUAAGAAGACAUGCAAAUUUGUUAAUAAUAUUGAUGGUGUUU